rnacentral:rRNA from 1 species
AAACCGGAGCUAAUACCGGAUAAUAUAUUGAACCGCAUGGUUCAAUAGUGAAGGACGGUUUUGCUGUCACUUAUAGAUGGACCCGCGGCGUAUUAGCUAGUUGGUAAGGUAACGGCUUACCAAGGCAACGAUGCGUAGCCGACCUGAGAGGGUGAUCGGCCACACUGGAACUGAGACACGGUCUAG